GAGCUAAUUAGUUUAUAUUUUAAAAUUUUUGUUUGUGGUGCAAGGGAAAUUGUUAGCUAU
rnacentral:tRNA from 1 species